CGCUCCCCGAACUCAAAAAUAUGAGGAGUCCUGCCUGCCCAGUGACUAGAGGUUAAACGGCCGCGGUAUCUUGACCGUGCGAAGGUAGCAUAAUCAUUUGUCUUCUAAAUAAAGACUAGUAUGAAUGGCAAGACGGAACUAAACUGUCUCUUUUUCACAAAUCUGAAUUUCACUUCCCCGUGAAGAGGCGGGGCUAAAAUCGUUAGACGAGAAGACCCUGUCGAGCUUAUAGCAAAAGCUUAACCGCUGAAACACCUAAACUGCCCUAAUUUAUUCACCUUAGACAUAAUAGGCUUCUGGGAUUGAGACAAAGCUUUGGUUGGGGCAACCGCGGAGUAAGAAAAACCUCCACUAAAAAUGUUAAUUAUUAACUAAGAGCUACAGCUCUGUAAUCAAAAUGAUUAAAAUGAUCCAUUUAGAUGACCAAAGGAACAAGUUACCGCAGGGAUAACAGCGUUAUCUUUUCUAAGAGUUCACAUUGACGAAAAGGUUUGCGACCUCGAUG
rnacentral:rRNA from 1 species